CAGGGAGGGCAACGACAAAGCAGUCGAGCAAAACUCUAAAAUCUCAAAGAAGCAAGAGAACAAACCCCAAAAAGUCAAGGACAACAAUGACAAAACAGUAGAGCAAAACUCUAAAAUCUCGAAGAAGCAAGAGGACAAACCCCAGAAAGUCAAGGAGGGCAAUGACAAAGCAGUAGAGCAAAACUCUAAAAUCUCAAAGAAGCAAGAGAACAAUCUCCAGAAAGUCAAGUAA